UACGGAGGGUGCAAGCGUUGUCCGGAAUCACUGGGCGUAAAGGGCGCGUAGGCGGCUUGGUAAGUCAUCUGUGAAAUCCCGGUGCUCAACGCCGGGGCUGCAGGUGAGACUGCCUGGCUGGAGCUUGGUAGGGGCGAGUGGAAUUCCCGGUGUAGCGGUGGAAUGCGUAGAGAUCGGGAAGAACACCAGUGGCGAAGGCGGCUCGCUGGGCCAAUGCUGACGCUGAUGCGCGAAAGCGUGGGGAGCAAACAGG
rnacentral:rRNA from 1 species